rnacentral:rRNA from 1 species
UACGUAGGGUCCGAGCGUUGUCCGGAAUUACUGGGCGUAAAGAGCUCGUAGGUGGUUUGUCGCGUUGUUCGUGAAAACUCACAGCUUAACUGUGGGCGUGCGGGCGAUACGGGCAGACUGGAGUACUGCAGGGGAGACUGGAAUUCCUGGUGUAGCGGUGGAAUGCGCAGAUAUCAGGAGGAACACCGAUGGCGAAGGCAGGUCUCUGGGCCGAUACUGACGCUGAGGAGCGAAAGCGUGGGGAGCGAACAGG